GUGCCAGCCGCCGCGGUAAUACGAAGGGGGCAAGCGUUGUUCGGAUUUACUGGGCGUAAAGGGCGUGCAGGCGGACCCAUAAGUCGACUGUGAAAUCUGCUGGCUCAACCAGCAGCGUGCAGUCGAAACUAUUGGUCUUGAGUACAGAAGAGGAGAGCGGAAUCUCAGGUGUAGCGGUGAAAUGCGUAGAUAUCUGAGAGAACACCGGUGGCGAAGGCGGCUCUCUGGUCUGAUACUGACGCUGAGACGCGAAAGCUAGGGGAGCGAACAGGAUUAGAUACCCUGGUAGUCCUAGCUGUAAACGAUGGGUACUAGGUGUAGGAGGUAUUGACCCCUUCUGUGCCGCAGCUAACGCAUUAAGUACCCCGCCUGGGGAGUACGGUCGCAAGGCUGAAACUUAAAUGAAUUGGCGGGG
rnacentral:rRNA from 1 species